AUACUUACCUAGCGAGAGCAGGUCGAGCUCAUACAUUCGGCUUGCUACAGAGACACACUGUCCCAUUGCACGACGGGGCAGGAGUCUCUGUUGGAAACUCUCCGGGGCUUCUACUCGUGAAAUUUUUGGCUCGGUCGCAAUGCAAUCACUGCACCCUU
rnacentral:snRNA from 19 species